UACGUAGGGUGCAAGCGUUGUCCGGAAUUAUUGGGCGUAAAGAGAACGUAGGCGGUUAAUUAAGUCUGUUCUUAAAGGCCGGGGCUCAACCCCGGGAAUGGAAUGGAAACUGGCUGACUCGAGGACGUUAGAGGAAGGUGGAAUUCCCAGUGUAGCGGUGUAAUGCGUAGAGAUUGGGAGGAACACCAGUGGCGAAAGCGACCUUCUGGAACGAUCCUGACGCUGAGGUUCGAAAGCUCGGGGAGCAAACAGG
rnacentral:misc_RNA from 1 species